GACGAACGCUGGCGGCGUGCUUAACACAUGCAAGUCGAACGAUGAUGCCAGCUUGCUGGUGGAUUAGUGGCGAACGGGUGAGUAACACGUGAGCAACCUGCCCCUGACUUCGGGAUAACCGUGGGAAACCGUGGCUAAUACCGGAUAUGACGCGCUAUCGCAUGGUGGUGUGUGGAAAGAUUUAUCGGUUGGGGAUGGGCUCGCGGCCUAUCAGCUUGUUGGUGGGGUGAUGGCCUACCAAGGCGACGACGGGUAGCCGGCCUGAGAGGGUGACCGGCCACACUGGGACUGAGACACGGCCCAGACUCCUACGGGAGGCAGCAGUGGGGAAUAUUGCACAAUGGGCGCAAGCCUGAUGCAGCGACGCCGCGUGAGGGAUGACGGCCUUCGGGUUGUAAACCUCUUUCAGUAGGGAAGAAGGCCUUCGGGUUGACGGUACCUGCAGAAGAAGCGCCGGCUAACUACGUG
rnacentral:rRNA from 1 species